CGGAGGAUCCAAGCGUUAUCCGGAAUUACUGGGCGUAAAGAGUUGCGUAGGUGGCAUUGUAAGUCGGUAGUGAAAGCGUGUGGCUCAACCAUAUAUACAUUAUCGAAACUGCAAAGCUAGAGGACGAGAGAGGUUAUUGGAAUUCCUAGUGUAGGGGUAAAAUCCGUUGAUAUUAGGAAGAACACCGAUGGCGUAGGCAGAUAACUGGCUCGUUCCUGACACUAAGGCACGAAAGCGUGGGGAGCAAACAGGAUUAGAUACCCUGGUAGUCCACGCCGUAAACGAUGGAUGCUAGCUGUUAGAGGUAUCGACCCCUCUAGUAGCGAAGCUAACGCGUUAAGCAUCCCGCCUGUGGAGUACGGUCGCAAGACUA
rnacentral:rRNA from 1 species